AACAAAAUUCCAUCAAAAUUGGUAAAAUAUGUAAGUGAAUUCUAAAAGAGUAUGUAGUUCUGAAAUUUUUUACAAUAGCUGCAUAAUAUAAAAUGAAUUUUUAUGCAUUAAAAUGUAAGAUACUAAAUAUGAGAAUUCACUCUUUAUUGAAUUCAGUUGCAAAUUAAAUGAAUCCCAUAUUCAUUUGAUUCCAAACACAACAUUAGGGAUAAUGGAUUUGAUAUAGAGAACCACUGAACAAUCACUUUGAAUUGAGAAGGUAUUUAUCACCGUACGUUAUGUGAAGGUUCAAUGUUGUGGGAGGUCAUGUGGUAGGUUUUUGGUGUUACUUUGGAUUAAUGAUGUUGGUGUUGUUAUUGAUAUGAUUUGGUUAGAUGUAGAUUGCAGCCUUUGUUCAGGGCACUUAAGUUCAGUUGAGCAACUAAAAUGUUGAAUAGGCCUCAUUCUAUUACUCCCAUAGCUACCCAGAUAACCUUAAUUUCUAAGUACCCUGGCAUUCUGCUGUGUUUAUUAAUUGUAUUCAUUGCAUUAAUCUUCCUCUGUUAUCUCUUACAUUUUUUUCUCUGACUCCACAUAAAAUCCAUUUUAUCCUUAAUUGUAGAAAGUAGUUCUUUUUGUUCAUCUCUUUAUGGCUAUUCAUGGAUUCCCUGUUUUAGUGGUGUUUAGCAUCUGGUGUUUUGGGGGUAUAAACCCUAACCAUGUUGCUUAACCAUCUAAGCCUUUGGGGUCCAAGAUUGUUCCUUUGUAUGCUUUUCAUUUAAAAACUGAUGUUUAAUAUCCAUAGUCAUGGUAAUGCUAAGAUUUUGGAUGUCAUUUAAAGGCAAACUUGUAUGCAUGACCAUAUAUAAAUACGUGCACGGAGGUAUGUUAAAAUCUGUUAACAAGGCAGUCUCUGCUACUGAUGCAUGCUGAUCUCACUUUUUUCAUGUACUUCUGGUGCAUUUUCUUAACAGUGCAUCAUUUCUUCUAUGUGGUGGUACUACAAUUUUGAUUUUUGCAUAUUGAAUUCAGCUAUUUGAUUGCGUCAAUGGGGCUUCAAGUUCUCUGGAGUUUUGGGCUUGCAUGCCUUGAUCUUCAUGCUUUGAGAUCAAAGAGAAACCUGCAAAAUCCUGUCUUAGUGAGCCUAUUUGUUGUUGGUGACUGGGUUACAUCUAUUCUAUCACUUGCAGCUGCGUGUGCAUCAGCUGGAGUAACAGUUUUGUACACAAAAGACUUGCAUUACUGCAACAGACCGCCCUUUUUCCCAUGCAGCAGGUUCCAAAUCUCCAUUGCUUUGGCAUUUAUCUCAUGGUUCCUCCUUGCUAUAUCUUCUCAUAUUAUGUUUUGGCUUUUGGCUAACGUAUGAAUUAAUCAACAUCAACCACAUUGCAAUAUUCUUCAUUUUACCUAGUAAAUAUUGUUAUUUCUGGAACACAUCUGUUUUUCUUGGAAAUGUCAGAACUAUCCCUUUUUAAUAGCAAGUUUCUUAGGCCAACCCAUAUGUUUUGUUGCUAUCUUGUGUUGCAACAGCCUGUUUUGACAAGCUGAAGAUUGAGAAAAUUUGAGAGAAGAAACAUUGUUUUGCUGCUCCAUUUGCUCCUUCUACAUUGAUGAUUGAAAGUAAAUUUUGUUAAUAAGGAAAACACCAUUGUAAUUAGUAAAACUGGCUGUCAAGUUUUUGAAAACCGUCCUUCCCUAGUUCCCCCUCCCUGUACCCUGAACCCAAAAACAAUAAUAAGGAAGCAAAGGAUAGGUUUAGAGACACGGAACCCCCUGCUAUUUGUUUCUUGAUUAAAGCAUUGUACUUGUGAUGCUUGAUGCUAGUCUGUGAUAUGUAGUUGUCCAUUUAAGAAUGUGAAAAGCAAAUUGAAUUUAGUGAAUGAUUGUUGCCUAGCUUCUGCAUGGAUUAAGGUUGAGGUAGAAAAUAGAAAUGAAGGUGACCUGCAGAGUGGUCUUGACACUUUGUGUCACCCUACCCACUUAGUACCUCUAACCUCUAGUGUGGUUGGCAGUCUAAUUUCAACAUAUCCUUGUCCAACUAGUUUGCUAUGCAAGUUGCCAAAGAAUAAUGUAGUUAUUUAUGGCUCUCAGGCUCUGGGUAGCCUGAGGCAGAAGUUAUCACCAUUGCAUUAACAUUCAAUUCAAAUUCUUCAAACUACAAUUAAACUAGUUUAAUGCACUAAAGACUCAAAUUUGUUAUGGUGCCUCUACAAUUAUACCCAUAGAUACCUUGUAAUCUUGUAUUCCUUUUAAUGUGCCUUUGAUAAGAGAUGACACCAUUGGAUCAAGAUUCU
rnacentral:misc_RNA from 1 species